GCUUACGGCCACACCGCGUGGUUAGCCGAUCUCGUUUGAUCUCGGAAGCUAAGAUAGGUUGGGCCUGGUUAGUACUUGGAUGGGAGACCGCCUGGGAAUACCAGGUGCUGUAAGCU
rnacentral:rRNA from 1 species